CCUACGGGAGGCAGCAGUAAGGAAUAUUGGUCAAUGGACGAAAGUCUGAACCAGCCAUGCCGCGUGAAGGAUGAAGGCCCUCUGGGUUGUAAACUUCUUUUAUAGGGGACGAAAAAAGGGCAUUCUUGCUCACUUGACGGUACCCUAGGAAUAAGCACCGGCUAACUCCGUGCCAGCAGCCGCGGUAAUACGGAGGGUGCAAGCGUUAUCCGGAUUUACUGGGUUUAAAGGGUGCGUAGGUGGGUUGGUAAGUCAGCGGUGAAAUCUUCGAGCUUAACUCGGAAACUGCCAUUGAUACUAUCAAUCUUGAAUCAUCUAGAGGUAAGCGGAAUAUGUCAUGUAGCGGUGAAAUGCUUAGAUAUGACAUAGAACACCAAUUGCGAAGGCAGCUUACUAUGGAUGUAUUGACACUNAGGCACGAAAGCUGGGGAUCAAACAGGAUUAGAUACCCUGGUAGUCCACGACCUAACUAUAGAUACUACGACAUUAGUCGAUAUACUAGUAGUAGU
rnacentral:rRNA from 1 species